UAUUCAUUUUCUACUAACCCUAGUUUCCUCCCGUGCCUCUUCAUUUUCUAUUAACUCGUUCCCGCUUCUUACCUCUGUGGUCUCAUUUUUCCUCAAUCAUAUCAUUUUCCUCCUCCAUUUGUUCAUCUUCAAAGAUGGUGUGGAGCGCUUGGGGCUUGAUCACAAUCAAGACAAUUCAACUUGGAAAGAAAUCUGUCAAGAAGAGAAACAAGGAUGCCCCGUCGCAGAGAAGCUGAUAGAGUCAUGCCUAAUCCGCGGCGUGAUGGCUUCUGUCCGUGGGUGUGGCGGCAGCGGCAUUUACUUUGCGACAACGAUGUUUCAGCGUCUUCACGGCGAGUUUCCGGUGGCUUAGGCGUGGUGUUUUCACGACGCAAGAAUCUCGUUUUCCAGCGUCUUAGCAGCGGUAGAGAUUUGAAUGAACUUCACGAUUGAUUUAAGGUUUGAAUUCAGGUUCUGUUUUUAGGGAUUUGAAUGGGGCUUUCUUCUAGUGUCUUGCUAUGUUGGGUUUGGCCAUGGAGAUAAAGAAAUUCCAGGUAUGGAGAACUAUUUUAGUGUGAUUGAGUGCUUGUAUGUGGUACAAUUUGCUUGUACCUAUGUUAAUGUUCUUUUGGGUAUAAUUGUAUGUUUGGGGGAAUGUGCUAUGCACUAUUUUCACGAGUUCGAAAAUGGAAUUUUGAUGUCACUUAUUGCGUUAACUUCUUUGCAGCGAUGAUAUAUCGGUUGAAGGACUAGAGCAGGAGCUGGAAGAGUGUAAGAAUAAUGAUGUUGUUGCUAAUAUACUCUCUAAAGAGUCCCGAUGGAGAUAUUAUUGACUGCGUCCAUGUCUCUCACCAGCCAGCUUUGGAUCACCCUAACCUCAAAAAUCACAAGAUACAGCAUGCCAUAACUUAUGUGGAGGGAAUAAGUAUUAUGGAGCCAAGGCAACCAUAAACGUUUGGAACCAAAAAGUUUAACAACCCAAUGAAUUUAGCCUAUCUCAAAUGUGGAUUCUGACUGCUCUUUUGGUAAAGAUCUCAACAGCAUUGAAGCAGGUUGGCAGGUCAGUCGUGAAUUGUAUGGAGACAACAACACUUAUUGGACAAGUGAUGCAUAUAAAGCUACUGGUUGUUAUAAUCUCCUUUGCUGCUAUGACUUUAUAGCUCUGGAGCAAGCAUCUCCCCUCUUUCCAAGUAUAGCUCUUCCCAAUAUCAUAUCAGCAUCCUGGUUUGGAAGGAAGAUGCAACUUUUGGUUUAAUUGUCACAAAUGACGACGUGAAUUUCUGGCUAAAAGGACCAACAAUUGCAGGGAAUGCAGUUUUUUCCAGGGAUGAAAGUGUAAAGGUUUGAAAUGAAGGAAAUUUAGCUUCUUGAUUUGUCAUGCCUAUAUGUUCAAUAUAAUAUGGCUUGUGCUUUGGGGUUAUUUGGUUUCAGGAUUGGUUUCAACUAAUGGUUUUAACUGUUUCUUGAAAGUGUUGUGAUACAAAUACAUGAGGAUGAAUCUCUCAUCUAUCCAAUAUAAGAAAAAUAUGAAUUGGUUCUCUUG